ensembl:snoRNA SNORA62 Small nucleolar RNA SNORA62/SNORA6 family
UAUUCUUCUUGUUAGAGCUCAGAGUUGAGGCCACUGACUGGCCAAUGAACCCGCAAGUGUAGAUAGUGUGCUACGCAAGGGACAAGUUUUUCACUAAAGCCACAAGAAUCUCUGGUCCAGUGAGUGGAGUUUAACAGAAAUUCUCGCUACAACU